CCAAGGUUGUGAGCACCUCCUUGUUCUAAUCCCUUUACCCUCCUUGCAAUGCCAUAAAAAACCCCCCUUUUACCAUCUCUCUAUUCAAUCUAAUUUCAUCUUCCUUGUUCUUGGAUUCUAACAUCAAUUCUGGCCCAUCUCUUUUUCAUCCAAUUUAAUUUAAUUUCAUCCAUCUCCUUGGAUUCUGACAUUGAUCAUCAUCGAGGAUGAAGAACUUGACAUGCCUCUCAAGCAAUUCACCGCCUAGGCACAAAACUACUUUUGAAUAUGAACCUUAUGAAAGCCCAUGGUGGGUUAAGCGAUGCUGUGGAAUUGAAAGGAGUUGGUCGGGAAGCCUAUCGCCAACCUCCUAUGCCCAUUUGCGGAGCAAAUCUAUAAAAGUGGCAUCAGAAGAGAGAAAAAAAGGACAUCGCAAGAUGUCGAGCACCGGUAGUCCCUUGAUAAGCAAUUUUGACCUCCAUUCAUCCCUGGGAGAGCCAAGGUUGGUGCGUAGUGGAGGGUUACGAAGGGACUGGAGCUUCGAGGAUGUCCGCAAGCAAAAGGCCACCAUCAAGGAUGCAUAGAGAAGAAAGGAUGGUAAAAAUUGCUACAUAGUUUGGAAUGUAUGGAUUUACAUAUAAUUGCAUGGAUGUUGGAUUUGAAUUAAUCUAAAGGUGGGCAAUUCCUUCUUGUUAAUCUCAUUUUGGCUUUGUGAAACCAUGACAAUGCAGUUGGGAGCCAGGGCUAUUGAGAGAUGUAUAUGAUAGCAAAAUUAUUCACAUUUCAUUUUGAGAGGAUAUGGG
rnacentral:lncRNA from 1 species